CGGUUCAGAGCGGGGACCCGGCUGCGACCGCCCACAGGCUAGGCCGGAGGGGGCUGAUGCCGGGGCAUUCCGGCUCCCCUCCGUGAUUUUUCUUGUUAUCUCGGACUGGAGAAGUUUGUCCACCUGAGAAUCAGCUCAGGACCAACCCCUGCUCAAUACAGAAGUUUCCCGAAACAUGCGACCUACACACUUAGUCCACCGAAUGCCUUUCGAUCGUUUGUGUUUCUUCCUCAAGGUUUCUCUGUAUAACAGCUCUGGCUGUCCUGAAAUGCACUACACAGACCAAGCUAGCCUCGAACUCAGUGAUCUGCCCGCGUCUGCCUCCCAGGUGCUGAGACUUACUAAAGGUAUGCACCACCACUGCCCGGCUCAGAAAACAAAUUCCUUAAAGUUCACAGCUCAAGAUCCAUCAUGAUGAGAAGUCAAAAUAGCAGGGACUGAAGAUGUGUCACACUGCUGGAAGACAGGAGAAAGGAACAAACUUACCUCUGCUAGUAAUCCGGCCUCCUUCUGUUUACAGUCCAGGAUCCCCUGCUGAUGGAAAAGUCCUGUCAAAAAUGAAGAUGGUUUCCAUAUCAAUUAAUGCAAUAAAGAUAACUGCCACUCCUCAAAGGCCCAUGUCUUAUGAGAUUCUUUCAAGUUCACAAUUAGCAAUCAUUAUAACUCUACUCUUUGUCCACCUGACACCAAAACUCUAAUUUGAAGCCAUAACUUUCAACCUUUGUCCCUAUAGGCUUAUGACCA
rnacentral:lncRNA from 1 species